GCAAUCCAAAGGAAACAGCACAUUUUAGCCCUGCUACAGCCCAUCCACGAGAACACGGAUGGAGAAAAUAGGUGCUGGCUGGUUUAGCCAGCAAAUUUCUGACUGGAGAUGAGCCUGUACCAAGCUCCCAGAUAUGACAAAGAAGCUUUGAGGAUUUUUCCUGUUUCAAACUUAGAUCACAGAAAUGUAAGGCUGGACGGGAUGUUGAGCAGUCCUUCAGUCCAGCCCCCCUGGGCUGAGGCAAGACCAAGUUAUACCUAGAGCAUCCCUGACAGGUGUUUGUCUAACCUAUUCUUAAAAAUCGUCAAUGAUGGGGAUUCCUCAAUCUGCCUUGGAAGCCUAUUCCAGUGCUUUACUAUCCUUAUCUGGAUUUUCAUUUCAUUAACUACUCACGUCUUUAUAAAGAGCCAAACCAAAACUGGAUUCAAACACCCAUCUGACCCACCAUCUCCAGCUCAAAGGAUGUUUCAAAUCAAAAUCUAGCUUGAGCCUGAUUCUAACAGUGUGCCCAUCUUUAAACACCUUUCUCCACUCCUCACCCUCAGAGGUGACAUGCAUCUAUGUCUCAGUAACAUAUCACCUGCUAUAUUCUUCUCUCAUUAUAUCAGCUCAAGCCCACUGAUUUAAUUGGAGUAGCACUCGUCACUGUGUAAUGACAGGAGAAUUUAGCUUUAUGAGAGGGAGUACAGAAUAAUUUUUCCAAUUCAUCUACAGGGGAAUUAAAUGAAGGCAAAGUGUUAUUGCCUGUAUUGCAGGUUAGCCAAGAUCCUGGGGCUGAGCACUCCUACUCUUGUCAAAAGGAUUAUUUUGAUGACUCAUUUACACUUGUAACUAAAGGCUGAGAGAAUGAAAAUCAUCUGGGUCAAUCUGAUACAAGUCCAAGCCUCAACAAGCAACAGAUUAAGUGGGGAAAGUCUUAAUCUAGAAAAUUGUUUUGUGAGAUUUACAACACCAAGCAGCACUCAGCAUUAUUUCUUUCACAAUAUCUCAUAAAAAACAAACAAAAACUCCAAUAAACCAAGACUUGAGGGAAGUUGCACUGGAAAAAACUUGAUGAAUAAAAUACUCAUAUGUGAAGGAAAUUUUUCUAUUAUACCUAGUAAAAUUUCUGGGCAUUCUGAUCUGAUUUAAACUCAACAUUCGAGUAGCAGGAAACUGAUAAUUGUCAUAAUUGUAGUAAGAAUAAAGCCAGGAUGAACAUUAACAUGGAACUAUUGCAGCAAAAGCCUUAGGUAUAGGCAUGCAACACGUACUUUUUACCAAUGGCUCAUACAAAAUUGCUUGAGUAGCCACAAACUAUAUUAUUUUAUGAUCAGGAAAGAUCCUUUUAAAUCUCAUCUUUUACUGUGCACCGAUAGGGUUUUAGA